rnacentral:tRNA from 2 species
GGGGCCAUAGUAUAAUGGGAUUACAUUUGCAUGGCAUGCAAAAUAUCGGAGUUCGAUUCUCCGUGGCUCCA